GACGAACGUUGGCGGCGUGCUUAAUACAUGCAAGUCAACUGAAGCAGUGGUAGCAAUAUCGCUGUGGAGGUGGCGCACGGGUGAGUAACACGUAGGUAAUCUGCCUUCAGGUCUGGCAUAACUCCGGGAAACCGGGGCUAAUAGCAGAUGAUGCAGCGGCUCGACAUCGAGACAGUUGUUAAAGCUAUGGCGCCUGAAGAUGAGCCUGCGUCUGAUUAGCUAGUUGGCGGGGUAACGGCCCACCAAGGCAACGAUCAGUAGCUGGUCUGAGAGGAUGAUCAGCCACACUGGAACUGAGACACGGUCCAGACUCCUACGGGAGGCAGCAGUAAGGAAUAUUGCUCAAUGGGAGAAAUCCUGAAGCAGCAACGCCGCGUGAGGGACGAAGGGCUUUUGCUUGUAAACCUCUGUAGUGAGAGAAAAAAAUCCCAAUCUUUGGGACAUGAUGGUAGCUCAAAAGUAAGCCCCGGCUAACUACGUG
rnacentral:rRNA from 1 species